CUCUGACUCUGUCUCACUGACCUGUGAGGGAAACUCUGCUGAGUGGAGAGUGAAGAAGUUCACUGAGGACGGCUUCCUGUCACUCUGCUGUGACUGUCAGAAACUUAGUGGAUCCUCCUAUAACAUCCUCAGCCUACAGGAGGGUGUUACAGUGUACUGGUGUGAGUCUGCAUCAGGAGAGCUCAGCAAUGCAGUCAGCAUCACUGUAGGAGGUUUCAGAUGUGAAAGCGGUUCAUUUAUCGUACCGUUCAUCAUCGGGCUUGUUUGUGGAAUUAUUAUUUUGCUUCUGCUGCAGCUGAUGUGUUGCUACAGAAGGAUAAAGGAUUCUUGUUUUAACAGGUUCACUCAACCUCUGAACAUCAAUCAAACUGCACAACAAACAGCCAACCAGAGUGAAACCCAAAUUUACUCCUCUCUUCUUCAUGGUGAUACUUCAGUCUAUGAAUCGGUCAGAGUCUCUGGAAACACCGGAAGUGGGUGGACCAACAGAUGAAUACAGAAAUGUCACAUCUACUCUUCAGACUGAAGGUUUUGAUAAAAGGAGGAGACAUGACAACACAGAGGAGAGCUCUGACUACAAUAAUGUGAAUCUUGAAUCAGCCUCAGGUCCAUAAAAAGAAGUGGUCAACAACACAUCCAGGUACCUUCAGGGUUAGACCUGGAUUUUCUGUACUAUGAAGGUGGUUCACUUCUUACCAGAAUAUAUCACCAUGGUAACCAUGCGGCCGCCUUCUGACCAAUCAAAUCUCUGGAAAAUAGCGUCACUGUUCCUGGAAGCUCUCGGCCCUCUGUGUGCGGAGAGUAGGAGGCUCUAAAGAUUUUUAAUAGCAUCAUUGUGCUUCUUUGGUGAGCAGUAACAUAUAUGUAUAUUCUUAAAUGCAAUUUUAUUCCUUGAUAUUUUUUUUCUUUUUCUGUUGGCAACAAACAAAUUUGCAGUUGUAUUGUUAUAUGAGCAUUAAUGUUCUGCUUUUUAUAUUUUUACUCUCGAAGUCUGCAGCUGGAAGAAUAAAAACUAAAACUGUCGAACA